ACCGAGCAACGCCGCGUGAGUGAAGAAGGUUUUCGGAUCGUAAAGCUCUGUUGUAAGUCAAGAACGUGUGUGAGAGUGGAAAGUUCACACAGUGACGGUAGCUUACCAGAAAGGGACGGCUAACUACGUGCCAGCAGCCGCGGUAAUACGUAGGUCCCGAGCGUUGUCCGGAUUUAUUGGGCGUAAAGGGAGCGCAGGCGGUCAGGAAAGUCUGGAGUAAAAGGCUAUGGCUCAACCAUAGUGUGCUCUGGAAACUGUCUGACUUGAGUGCAGAAAGGGGAGAGUGGAAUUCCAUGUGUAGCGGUGAAAUGCGUAGAUAUAUGGAGGAACACCAGUGGCGAAAGCGGCUCUCUGGUCUGUCACUGACGCUGAAGGCUCGAAAAGCGUG
rnacentral:rRNA from 1 species